rnacentral:rRNA from 1 species
AACGAACGCUGGCGGCAGGCCUAACACAUGCAAGUCGAGCGAGAAAGCGGGGUUCGCCCCGUUAGUAAAGCGGCAGACGGGUGAGUAACACGUGAGUAAUCUGCCCCCGAGUUUGGGAUAACAGUCCGAAAGGACUGCUAAUACCGGAUAAGCCUCCGCGACUGAGGUCGAGUGGGGAAAAGGCGGGGAUCCUUCGGGACCUGUCACUUGGGGAUGAGCUCGCGUCCCAUUAGGUAGUUGGUGAGGUAAUGGCUCACCAAGCCCGAGAUGGGUAGCUGGUCUGAGAGGGCGAUCAGCCACACUGGAACUGAGACACGGUCCAGACUCCUACGGGAGGCAGCAGUGGGGAAUCUUGCGCAAUGGACGAAAGUCUGACGCAGCCAUGCCGCGUGGGCGACGAAGGCCUCGG